rnacentral:misc_RNA from 1 species
GAUGAAGAACGUAGCGAAAUGCGAUACUUGGUGUGAAUUGCAGAAUCCCGUGAACCAUCGAGUCUUUGAACGCAAGUUGCGCCCGAAGCCAUUAGGCCGAGGGCACGCCUGCCUGGGCGUCACACGUCGUUGCCCCCCCCAUCUACUCCUUCGGGAUUGCGGGGGGCGGAUGAUGGCCUCCCGUGCGCCUUGUCGCGCGGUUGGCAUAAAUACCAAGUCCUCGGCGACGCACGCCACGACAAUCGGUGGUUGCGAAACCUCGGUUGCCUGUCGUGUGUGGUCGUCGCGCAUCGAGGGCUCGAAAAAAUUGCCGGGCUCCGGCUCGGCUUUCAACGCGACCCCAAGUCAGGCGGGGUUACCCGCUGAAUUUAAGCAUAUCAAUAAGCGGAGGA